GAACUUUCAGAGACAAAGGACACGAGGUUCUUUUGAAAGUACUUUUUAAAAGUUUAUUCAAAGAAAAAACAAACAACAAAAAAUAAAGCUUGCAGGACUUCCUGUCGCACGGAGGUCAUCCGUUGGAGGAGCGGAGCUAUGUGAAUACCUGAAAGAAGCACACGCGUGUUCUUCAUUGUCCUGUAAAGGAGGUCAUGUAGUGAAGGGGGGGAGCAAAGAAAAAACUAAAGAAUAUCCAAUUACAGCUGGGCAAAGAAACAAGAAAUAUGCAUUUAACAUAACGUGAUUGAUGCAUUAGAACCUGUGUAAACAUUUCCUCCACCUGAGGUGGGCGGAGCCACACGCCGACGCACAGAAACUAUCGAGAACAGAAAACACGCAAAGCUUCAAGCGACUUCUUCUUCUUGCUCUUCCCCAAACAAAGUUGUCCUUAACUACUGGGGGGGGGGGGGGGGGGGCGUUGACCUGCCGUUGUCUUUAAGGGUUGCCGUGGAAACGGAAGUCAAAGUCCUGGAGGAGGCGGAUGGUGCUCAGUCUUUCACAUGCACAUCAGCAGGAAGUCCAGCCUCGCAGACGGGCUCUGCUCGUUGUCAUGGUAACGCCCCAUUCCAGUCCUCACCCCCCCCCCCAAAAAAAGAAAAACACCUGGGGGCUGUUAAGUCGUGACGAGGAAAAAGAUGGUCUCAUGCGUCGGACCACCGCGAGCUCUACAUUCUGUAAAGUUAAUGCGCGCGUGCACACACACACACACACACACACACACACACACACACUCUGAAUCUAUUAAAUCUCCUAUUCACAGCGGUUCAGCUCAGGCGGCCAUGCUUUCCUUUGGGGGGGGGGGGGCAGAAACAUGACCUCAUCUGGAAGAUUCAGGGAUGUUUUUACGGUACACACCUGUGUCGCCUCCUCUUAUAGACACACACACACACACACACACAGGGUGGAGGUGCGUGAAUCCUAAAAAAAGAAGGUAAACAUGUUUACUCCACAUAGUUACACUUAUCUUUAUAAUAAUAGUAAUAAUUAAAGAAACUGCCUCAGCCCCCCCCCCCCAUUUGUUAAUUCAUGUUUUUUUUGUAAAGCACCUGUCGAAACAACACAAUACUUCAACAACACACACACACACACACACACACACACACACACACACACAAGUCAGGCCAGGUCACAUCCAUGAGACCUCCAUCAGAACUACCCCCCCCCCGCCCCCCCCUCGCCUGAGUUUAGUCCUCAACCUCCAACCAGCAGGUCAAACAACAGUACAAAUACACACAAUACUGCAGUAUUAACACAACGGUGGGCCCAUGAGAAGAAGGCGCGGCAGAGACGGGGGGGGGGGGCCUAGAAGGUAGUAGAAGUAUUCUGUCCCAUUGCCAUCACAGGAGCAACUAAAGUACCCCCCCCUUCUUAAACUGACAUUUAAUUUAUUUCUACUUUCAUUCAUAUAUUAAUUAAUCAUCCCCUCAUGUUCAUGUAUGUCAGGGGGGGCGGAGCUCCAGACUGAAAGGUGACGUCGGUGCAGUCCCUCUCACUCUCGGGGGGUCCUGACAUCCAGUGUUAGCGAAGGGUUGGAGGGCGAUGAAGAGGAGGGGGGGGGGGGGGCGCGGACCUCUACCAGCUGAGCAGGUUACUUCGGCCCAGAGUCAUGAAGUACACCUGGCUGGAGCCUCCAGAACGGACGGAGGCGAAGAACACCUGGGGAGGAGACAGGUGAGGAGAAGAGACACAGGUGGGGGGAGGAGACACAGGUGGGGGGAGGAGACAGAGGUGGGGGGAGGAGACACAGGUGAGGGGUGGAGACACAGGUGGGGGGAGGAGACAGGUGAGGAGAAGAGACACAGGUGGGGGGAGGAGACAGAGGUGGGGGGAAGAGACACAGGUGGGGGGAGGAGACACAGGUGAGGGGUGGAGACACAGGUGAGGGGAGGAGACAGAGGUGGGGGGAGGAGACACAGGUGGGGGGAGGAGACACAGGUGAGGGGUGGAGACACAGGUGAGGGGUGGAGACACAGGUGAGGGGAGGAGACACAGGUG
ensembl:lncRNA